rnacentral:lncRNA from 1 species
GCCUUUAGCUGUAUGUAUUGGAACUGUAUGUAGGUAUAUAUUUAACACACAGGCCAAGCCGUGAUGGUUAAUUUGCUUCUGUCUAGGAUUUCUUUUUGAGGAUCUCUACUUUAAUGAUUUCUUCAACUUAUUUUUAAUAUCUUAGGUGCACAUGGGAAGAGAAUUGGAACAUGUGAUGUAUUUCCUUCAGGUCUCUGCUUAAAUGGCCUGUGAACAAAGAGUGCCAAACCACCCGUCAGAAACAGCCCUCCCUCCACUUGUGUUGGACUCAGCCUUGUGCCCUGCUUGACUUUUCUUCAUAGCUACUGUUGCUGCCUGAGAAUUAACAUACCGUUUGCUUCUCCCGCUAGACCAUGAACUCAGGGAGGAUGGGAAUUUAUCUGCCACUGUACUCCCAGAGCCUAAGAUAAUGCUACCAUGUAGAUGGCUCCCAAUAAAUAUCUUUUGAAUGAAUGACUGCAUGAAGAAAUGAAACAGUCCUUGAGGAAAGAAUCCCACAUGUAUAGGGGACAGCACUUGGAUGUCGUAUUAGAGAUGCUCAGGUUUUAAUCCUGAGUCUCUGGCUUUCUAAAUGUGCAGCAAGGUACUUGAAAAUUUUCAACAAGUCCCAAAGUGGUGUCAUCUAAAUUCUGAAGGUGUGGAGCAUUCUACCAAAUGGCUCCAUCCUCCCAUCUUUGGAGGAAUAUCGAACAGAGUAAGAGAGACUGUCUUCCCUUAUGAACCAGCUUUGUGAUCCCAG